rnacentral:misc_RNA from 1 species
GAAAUACCUUAAUCAUGUCAUUAGGGUUAUAGUUAACAUUGGAAACUUAAAUAUGUUGCACACUAGAAAGAAAAAAAAUAUGACUUUCGAAAGUAAUUGAAAGAGUUUUAUAUUCUACUCUUUCCAUGUUGGACAAAAUAAGAUUCAUCAGCAUUGGCUAAACGAUCUUGAAACAUAGCCCACUCAUUUGUACACCUCUCUCUUACCCCUUCCCAAGGAGCUUUGCCAUUCCCAGUCUCACCCUGACUCCCAAGAGAAGGGACAAAUUGAUGUACUACCCACUGCGAAUCAACAACGCCAAUUUUUUCAUGAGCAGGCUCUACACAUCUUCUCAAUGCAAAAUCCAAUCCCCAUCCAUGC